rnacentral:rRNA from 1 species
CCUACGGGUGGCAGCAGUGGGGAAUUUUGCGCAAUGCUCGUAAGAGUGACGCAGCGACGCCGCGUGAAUGACGAAGGCCUUCGGGUCGUAAAGUUCUGUCGACAGGGAAGAAAAUGCCUAUAAGUAACUGUGUAUGUAUUGACGGUACCUGUAUAAGCAGCCCCGGCUAACUCCGUGCCAGCAGCCGCGGUAAUACGGGGGAUGCAAGCGUUAUCCGGAAUUAUUGGGUUUAAAGGGUGCGUAGGCUGUGAGGUAAGUCAGCGGUGAAAUGCCCCCGCUCAACGGGGUGAAGUGCCAUUGAUACUGGCUAGCUGGAAUGCGGAUGCCGUUGGAGGAAUGUGUGGUGUAGCAGUGAAAUGCAUAGAUAUCACACAGAACACCGAUUGCGAAGGCAUCUAACGAAUACGCGAUUGACGCUGAUGCACGAAAGCGUGGGUAUCAAACAGGAUUAGAUACCCUGGUAGUC